ensembl:rRNA 5S_rRNA 5S ribosomal RNA
CCCUGCCAGCAUCUACGGUGAUGCCAGGCUGACCUCAGAAGAUAGGCAGUGUUGGGCUGGGUCAUUACUUGGAUGUGAGACAACCCGGGAAUGCUGGGGGUGGUAGGCU